UACGGAGGAUCCAAGCGUUAUCCGGAAUCAUUGGGAUUAAAGGGUCCGUAGGCGGUUUAUUAAGUCAGUGGUGAAAGCCCGCAGCUCAACUGUGGAACGGCUAUUGAUACUGAUAGACUUGAAUUAUUGGGAAGUAACUAGAAUAUGUAGUGUAGCGGUGAAAUGCUUAGAUAUUACAUGGAAUACCAAUUGCGAAGGCAGGUUACUACCAAUUGAUUGACGCUGAUGGACGAAAGCGUGGGGAGCGAACAGG
rnacentral:rRNA from 1 species